UAACUCAUGUCUGCGGCACGGGUACCUACCUCCCUCCCCGCCUGCCUGCCUGCCUGCGUACAUCACGCCUAGUAUGUUGCACAAUUCAUUUUAUAAACGGGUGUAAUGUACUGUAUAUAGCCUAGGGGUACAUAUGGGAACCUCGCAGUUACUUCGGGCCUUCCCGCUCCCCACGGGCUGUCGGCCGCAAGCCUAAAACAGAUUACUAUGUGGGGACCAAACAGGUGUUCCCGAUUGGCCAGGAUUGGCCAGGAUUGGCCAGGAUUGGGGACAAAGAAGAGCAGAAUUGAGCUUCAUGGGAUUGAUGGGGUAAGAAUGAAAAAGAUUGGAUGUAUAUGCUUUGGUAGGAAAGUUUGAGAGAUACGGUUUGUAAGAGGGAC
rnacentral:sRNA from 1 species